UUAAGCGACCAAGCGUACACGGUGGAUGCCCUGGCAGUCAGAGGCGAUGAAGGACGUGCUAAUCUGCGAAAAGCGCCGGUAAGGUGAUAUGAACCGUUAUAACCGGCGAUGUCCGAAUGGGGAAACCCAGUGUGACUCGUCACACUAUCAUUAACUGAAUCCAUAGGUUAAUGAGGCGAACCGGGGGAACUGAAACAUCUAAGUACCCCGAGGAAAAGAAAUCAACCGAGAUUCCCCCAGUAGCGGCGAGCGAACGGGGAGCAGCCCAGAGCCUGAAUCAGCAUAUGUGUUAGUGGAAGCGUCUGGAAAGGCGCGCGAUACAGGGUGACAGCCCCGUACACAAAAGCGCAUAUGCUGUGAGCUCGAUGAGUAGGGCGGGACACGUGGUAUCCUGUCUGAAUAUGGGGGGACCAUCCUCCAAGGCUAAAUACUCCUGACUGACCGAUAGUGAACCAGUACCGUGAGGGAAAGGCGAAAAGAACCCCGGCGAGGGGAGUGAAACAGAACCUGAAACCGUGUACGUACAAGCAGUGGGAGCCCCACCACCAAAGCGUUUCGCUUUGCGUGGUGCGCAAAAUGCGUAACGACAGCACGAUUGCGGUUAACGGAGCGUAAGCGACGUUCAACACAAGAAUCAGGCAGUGGAGCGUUUUGGGGUGGGGUGACUGCGUACCUUUUGUAUAAUGGGUCAGCGACUUAUAUUCUGUAGCAAGGUUAACCGUAUAGGGGAGCCGCAGGGAAACCGAGUCUUAACCGGGCGUUAAGUUGCAGGGUAUAGACCCGAAACCCGGUGAUCUAGCCAUGGGCAGGUUGAAGGUUGGGUAACACUAACUGGAGGACCGAACCGACUAAUGUUGAAAAAUUAGCGGAUGACCUGUGGCUGGGGGGUGAAAGGCCAAUCAAACCGGGAGAUAGCUGGUUCUCCCCGAAAGCUAUUUAGGUAGCGCCUCGUGAAUUCAUCUCCGGGGGUAGAGCACUGUUUCGGCCAGGGGGCCAUCCCGGCUUACCAACCCGAUGCAAACUGCGAAUACCGGAGAAUGUUAUCACGGGAGACACACGGCGGGUGCUAACGUCCGUCGUGAAGAGGGAAACAACCCAGACCGCCAGCUAAGGUCCCAAAGUCAUGGUUAAGUGGGAAACGAUGUGGGAAGGCCCAGACAGCCAGGAUGUUGGCUUAGAAGCAGCCAUCAUUUAAAGAAAGCGUAAUAGCUCACUGGUCGAGUCGGCCUGCGCGGAAGAUGUAACGGGGCUAAACCAUGCACCGAAGCUGCGGCAGCGACACUAAGUGUUGUUGGGUAGGGGAGCGUUCUGUAAGCCUGUGAAGGUGUGUCGUGAGGCAUGCUGGAGGUAUCAGAAGUGCGAAUGCUGACAUAAGUAACGAUAAUGCGGGUGAAAAACCCGCACGCCGGAAGACCAAGGGUUCCUGUCCAACGUUAAUCGGGGCAGGGUGAGUCGACCCCUAAGGCGAGGCCGAAAGGCGUAGUCGAUGGGAAACGGGUUAAUAUUCCCGUACCUGGUGUUACUGCGAAGGGGGGGACGGAGAAGGCUAUGUUGGCCGGGCGACGGUUGUCCCGGUUUAAGCGUGCAGGUGUGUGUUCCAGGAAAAUCCGGUUCACUUUAACACUGAGGCGUGACGACGAGGCACUACGGUGCUGAAGCAACAAAUGCCCUGCUUCCAGGAAAAGCCUCUAAGCCUCAGGUAACAUCAGAUCGUACCCGAAACCGACACAGGUGGUCAGGUAGAGAAUACCAAGGCGCUUGAGAGAACCCGGGUGAAGGAACUAGGCAAAAUGGUGCCGUAACUUCGGGAGAAGGCACGCUGACACGUAGGUGAAGCGGUUUACCCGUGGAGCUGAAGUCAGUCGAAGAUACCAGCUGGCUGCAACUGUUUAUUAAAAACACAGCACUGUGCAAACACGAAAGUGGACGUAUACGGUGUGACGCCUGCCCGGUGCCGGAAGGUUAAUUGAUGGGGUCAGCGCAAGCGAAGCUCCUGAUCGAAGCCCCGGUAAACGGCGGCCGUAACUAUAACGGUCCUAAGGUAGCGAAAUUCCUUGUCGGGUAAGUUCCGACCUGCACGAAUGGCGUAAUGAUGGCCAGGCUGUCUCCACCCGGGACUCAGUGAAAUUGAACUCGCUGUGAAGAUGCAGUGUACCCGCGGCAAGACGGAAAGACCCCGUGAACCUUUACUAUAGCUUGACACUGAACACUGGUCCUUGAUGUGCAGGAUAGGUGGGAGGCUUUGAAGUGUGGACGCCAGUCUGCAUGGAGCCGUCCUUGAAAUACCACCCUUUAAUGGCUGGUGUUCUAACGUAGACCCGUGAACCGGGUUGCGGACAGUGUCUGGUGGGUAGUUUGACUGGGGCGGUCUCCUCCUAAAGCGUAACGGAGGAGCACGAAGGUUGGCUAAUCCUGGUCGGACAUCAGGAGGUUAGUGCAAUGGCAUAAGCCAGCUUGACUGCGAGCGUGACGGCGCGAGCAGGUGCGAAAGCAGGUCAUAGUGAUCCGGUGGUUCUGAAUGGAAGGGCCAUCGCUCAACGGAUAAAAGGUACUCCGGGGAUAACAGGCUGAUACCGCCCAAGAGUUCAUAUCGACGGCGGUGUUUGGCACCUCGAUGUCGGCUCAUCACAUCCUGGGGCUGAAGUAGGUCCCAAGGGUAUGGCUGUUCGCCAUUUAAAGUGGUACGCGAGCUGGGUUUAGAACGUCGUGAGACAGUUCGGUCCCUAUCUGCCGUGGGCGCUGGAGAACUGAGGGGGGGCUGCUCCUAGUACGAGAGGACCGGAGUGGACGCAUCACUGGUGUUCGGGUUGUCAUGCCAAUGGCACUGCCCGGUAGCUAAAUGCGGAAGAGAUAAGUGCUGAAAGCAUCUAAGCACGAAACUUGCCCCGAGAUGAGUUCUCCCUGAGACUACAAGUCUCCUGAAGGAGCGUUGAAGACGACGACGUUGAUAGGCCGGGUGUGUAAGCGCAGCGAUGCGUUGAGCUAACCGGUACUAAUGAACCGUGAGGCUUAACCUU
rnacentral:rRNA from 1 species